GCACAACGCGAAGAACCUUACCAAGGCUUGACAUCCCCUUGACCAGUGCAGAGAUGUACUCUCUCCUUCGGGAGCAAGGGUGACAGGUGGUGCAUGGUUGUCGUCAGCUCGUGUCGUGAGAUGUUGGGUUAAGUCCCGCAACGAGCGCAACCCCUAUCCUUAGUAGCCAGCACAUAAUGGUGGGCACUCUAGGGAGACUGCCAGGGAUAACCUGGAGGAAGGCGGGGAUGACGUCAAAUCAUCAUGCCCCUUAUGAUCUGGGCUACACACGUGCUACAAUGGUGGCUACAAAGAGAAGCGAGCCCGCGAGGGGGAGCAAAUCUCAGAAAGGCCAUCCCAGUUCGGAUUGUAGUCUGCAACUCGACUGCAUGAAGCUGGAAUCGCUAGUAAUCGCGAAUCAGAAUGUCGCGGUGAAUACGUUCCCGGGUCUUGUACACACCGAGGUCGGUGGGGGAGGGCGAAGGGCAC
rnacentral:rRNA from 1 species